AUCGCUUCUCGCCUUUUGGCUAAGAUCAAGUGUAGUCUGUUCUUAUCAGUUUAAUACUGAUAUGUCCAUCCAGGUGAGGACAACAUAUUAAGCAUUUUUGAAACACAGGAGGAAGGUGGGCUUGCUCUUCUCUCUCAAUUGACCCCAGUAUUGCAGUGCUUCUGGGAACAGUGCCUCUGU
rnacentral:snRNA from 1 species